rnacentral:rRNA from 1 species
AUUGAACGCUGGCGGCAGGCCUAACACAUGCAAGUCGAGCGAGCGGCGGACGGGUGAGUAAUGUAUGGGGACUGCCCGAUAGAGGGGGAUAACUACUGGAAACGGUGGCUAAUACCGCAUACUAUCGGAUAACCCAUAUGGGAUUAGCUAGUAGGUGUGGUAAACGCGCACCUAGGCGACGAUCUCUAGCUGGUCUGAGAGGAUGAUCAGCCACACGGGGACGGAGACACGGACCAGACUCCGACGGAGGCAGCAGGGGGGAAUAUUGCACAAUGGGAGAAAGCCUGAUGAAGCCAUGCAGAGUGUAUGAAGAAGGCCUUAGGGGUGUAAAGUACUUGCAGCGGGGAGGCGUUACCCGCAGAAGAAGCACCGGCUAACUCAGUGCCAGCAGCCGCGGUAAUUC